UACGGGGGGGGCAAGCGUUGUUCGGAAUCAUUGGGCGUAAAGGGCGCGUAGGCGGUGCGGUAAGUCUGGUGUGAAAUCCCCGAGCUUAACUCGGGAUCCGCGCCAGAGACUGCCGUGCUAGAGUGUGGGAGAGGAGAGUGGAAUUCCCGGUGUAGCGGUGAAAUGCGUAGAUAUCAGGAGGAACACCUGUGGCGAAAGCGGCUCACUGGACCACAACUGACGCUGAUGCACGAAAGCUAGGGGAGCAAACAGG
rnacentral:rRNA from 1 species